GAAGCAUGGUGUUGAAGCAAGAAAAGCUGGGCAAGGAGCCUGUGCAAAAUCAAGGCUGUACCACUUCUCAAAGGAACCCAUAAAUGAUUUAGGCCACUGUUCACGAAUGAAAAUGCCUGUGGGGUCCAUGACGUACUGUACAUAUUCCCAUCACUCCAUUUACCGCCCUGCUUGUAUCUGCUGACUUCACUGAACUAUGAGCACCUAGAUGGAGACAAUUUGGCUUUGACAUCUGACUUCCCAAGGGUGAUUCUGCUAAUCAAGCCAGUAGGGCUGGGGUCCCUUUCCUCACUUGAUGCUUCUGCAUGUGGCCUCUCUUCCGGCACACCGUGGAGGGCAGCUUUC
rnacentral:lncRNA from 1 species